CUUUGAUGAGCAAGGGCACCGCGCCCCCAUUUUCCCGAAAAUAUGGCCCCAGGGACCCCUGAAUUCCACGGUCAGGGUGGAGGGAAAGCACUUCGAAAAGCCAGGAGGGACACUGGACACGGAGUGGACUCUGACCGCUAACGUGGGUUUAUCUGCAUUAUUGCAGGCAGUUAUGAGGAAGAACAUUGGAUGAUAUGGAGAUUGAGAUAAAAAGAAACAGGAUCAGCAGUAUUUCGUCUUGUGAAACUGAAAACCACAGCCACAGAAAGACAGAGA